CUAGGAUGGGUGACCCCCUGGGAAGUCCUCGUGUUGCAACCC
rnacentral:rRNA from 1 species